CAAUAGCGUAUAUUAAAGUUGUUGCGGUUAAAAAGCUCGUAGUUGGAUUUCUGCUGAGAACGACCGGUCCGCCCUUUGGGUGUGUAUCUGGCUCUUUCUUGGCAUCUUCUUGGUGAACGUUGCUGCACUUGACUGUGUGGAGCGCUACCCAGGACUUUUACUUUGAGGAAAUUAGAGUGUUUCAAGCAGGCAUACGCCUUGAAUACAUUAGCAUGGAAUAAUAAGAUAGGACCUCGGUUCUAUUUUGUUGGUUUCUAGAGCUGAGGUAAUGAUUAAUAGGGAUAGUUGGGGGCAUUCGUAUUUAACUGUCAGAGGUGAAAUUCUUGGAUUUGGUAAAGACGGACUACUGCGAAAGCAUUUGCCAAGGAUGUUUUCAUUGA
rnacentral:rRNA from 1 species